rnacentral:rRNA from 1 species
CAGCCGCCGCGGUAAUACGUAGGGUGCAAGCGUUGUCCGGAAUUAUUGGGCGUAAAGAGCUCGUAGGCGGUUUGUCACGUCGGAUGUGAAAACUCGGGGCUCAACUCCGAGCCUGCAUACGAUACGGGCAGACUUGAGUUCGGCAGGGGAGACUGGAAUUCCUGGUGUAGCGGUGAAAUGCGCAGAUAUCAGGAGGAACACCGGUGGCGAAGGCGGGUCUCUGGGCCGAUACUGACGCUGAGGAGCGAAAGCGUGGGGAGCGAACAGGAUUAGAUACCCUGGUAGUCCACGCCGUAAACGGUGGGUGCUAGGUGUGGGGAACAUUCCACGUUCUCCGUGCCGCAGCUAACGCAUUAAGCACCCGCCUGGGGAGUACGGCCGCAAGGCUAAAACUCAAAGGAAUUGACGG